UCAUCAUCAGGGCAUCAAACAUUAAAAUAGUAGACUUCAUUUUAGACCUCUUUCCACUUUCCAGCACCCAAAACACAAUUCCACAGCACAAGGGAUUAAACUAAGGAAUCUUCAUCAUGAAUGCAGUAUCUUGAAACUCUAAAUUUGAUAAAAAAAUAAUCUCUUACCACAAUUAUAAAUUUAUAAUCCUUCUCAUUUUUUGUUUUUACUCUUUUUUUCCAAUAAUAAUACAAACCUGAUUACAAUACCUUCACUUUCAUCCUCUCAAAUAAAAAAAAAAUCCCAAAAUUCAAUUUGUUAUUGUUGUUUGCAGUGGAGCGAAUCUGGGUUCGGAUCUGUCAUGAAAGAUACUGUCAAAAGUUAUCUUUUUCAAUCCCUUUUGCAGUAUAUCUCUUGGUCCCAAAAGGCUACACAAUUUCACCCUUAAAUUCCCAGAAAAAGUAGAGGGAUUAAGGGUCUGUAAAAGGGUAUCUUUUUAAUUGAGUUUUCUGAGUGAUUUUGGUUGAAAUUGGAUUGGGAGAAAAGGGGAGCAAGAAUGUUGGAAUUGAGGGAUAAUACUUGCUUCCCACCUGGAAUUGUUGUUGUUUAUGCUACCCUUGCAUGUGUUGAUGCGGCUAUUGCUGUGAUUGCAUUUUGUCAGUUAGCGAGGAUUCAUUCUAGGAGUGCGCUACUUGGUUGGACCCGCCAAAAGGUCUUUCAUUUCAUGAUUGGCCUUUGUAACUUAGGUUACGUUGUUUUUUUUGUAUUAACGCUCAUCGCUACUUGCAAAGGAUGGUCAUGCUGGUCAAGUUUUUGCGGCUUUGUAUUCAUGGCCUUCCCUAAGAUCCUUUUAUUUGCGGCAUUUCUUCUACUUCUGUCAUACUGGGUGGAUCUUUGCCACCAGGCUGAUGAUGAAGAGGAUGAGGGAGACGGUAGUUCUCGUGAAGCUUUGUUGGAUAAGACUACCAGUAAACCUCCUUUAACAAACACUGAUGAUAAUCAAAGAUGUCUACCUAUUCCAUCACUUCAUGUUGGAAGCCGCCAAAGACUUGUUAUUUUGAUUACGGUUGUGGUUCUUGUUUUAAUGAUUGCUUUCGCCGUGCUAAUUUGGAUUGGGAUGGGAAGGAAUCCGAUUGAUUCAUCAACUGUUGCCCGGGUCUAUGUAGAUAUCUUUGCAAUUGGAAUUUUUCUGUUGGGAGGGGCAUUGGCGUGUUAUGGUCUCCUAAUAUAUUUGAAGAUGAGCAAAGUAAGAUCCGAGGGCGCUUCAUCGGAGAUGUGGAAGGUCACAGGUCUUGCUGUUGUUUCUCUUGUAUGUUUCACAACAAGUGCUCUAGUAGCACUUCUAACUGAUAUUCCAGUUCUUUACCGUUGGCAUCAAGAGCCCAUUAGUGGUUUUAGCACCACUAUCUUACUGAUCUUAUACUAUUUUAUAGCUUUGGUAUGCAGGUUCAUCAGCACCGGCAGCCUUUGUAUUGUGGGUCAUGAGGGAAUUACCACCUUCUUGGGUGGUUGAUAGAGCCGAGGAAUCAAGAAUAGUAACCUUCAUUAAUGAUGGAUCAACAGGAACGCAUAAUUCUCAGCACUGGACUGCUGUAACAAGCUCACGAAAUCAGGGUUCAAAAGCAAGCCCCAUCUAAUGUAAAUCAUGGUCUGAAACAUAUCCGGAUGAAAUUUCUUGAGCAGAAUUUUGUACUGUACUCUCUCACUAAAGGUUGGGCAAUGUGGUGGCACCCUGAGUUGGGAAGAAGCACGGUGCUCCAUUUAUUAGCCAGAACCAUACCGCUGUAAUUCAAUUGUUUUGCUUUGAAUUAUCUGUAAAUAGAUAAUCUAUUCCUCUUGCCAUCCUUAAAAGUAAAACAGCAGGGAUGGUUGGAGGAAGAUGGAAGGUAGUCAACCUGUUUCCUGACCUAGAAAUUUGUAAAAUUUUGUAGCUCAACUUGGUGAAAUGGCUCACUUUGGUGAGUAUAAUCACAGUUUUGUACCCGAGUUAAUUGUCUCAAAUGAAGGAUUACAAUGACAUUAGUGAGAUACUCUGUAAUAGCUCUUCCGUUUUCUCUCUACCAUUUUGUUGGUAGUUUAGGUCUCUUUUGAAUUUCAACCAUAAUUUAUACAAGUAACUAUUUUAGGGAAGAUCAAAUUUAUUUUUUAAAGCAUUCGGAAGUAGUAUUAUAAGAUCUUAUUUCCUGGA